GGGCCAGUAAAGGUUUCGACAGGGAUCAUGAAGCUGGAGAAGCGAGCCGCAUGGGAUGCGUGAAAUGCCAAACUUAAAAUUAAACGCUAACAAUAAUAAAUUAGCUUACGCUGCCUAGUUGCAGCAGUCUGACCGAGAGCACCCGCGCUUUGGGAUUCAGGCUUCGACGACGCGGGAAACGACACAUAUUAAGCUUUGCGUAUGUGGGCGUAUCAUGAAGCUACUGAAACGGGGAUUGUGUUUAUUCAAGCCCCGCGGAGGGAAUGACAAACAAUAAACUACGCUCGUAGAAGGACAGGGAAUUGGUUUUUGGACACGGGUUCGAUUCCCGUCUGGUCCAUUG
rnacentral:tmRNA from 1 species